rnacentral:misc_RNA from 1 species
GAAGUCGUUACUCCAACCCUUGUGGAGGAGGACGCCGAAGGUGGGGCUAAUGACUGGGGUGAAGUCGUAACAAGGUAGCCGUACCGGAAGGUGCGGCUGGAUCACCUCCUAACAGGGAGACAACAAAAUGUAAAUAUUAAUCUUGUCACCUUAGGUCGAUCGGUAUCUCAGAUUCUUAUUUUCUAAGAAUUUCAGUUUCUAAGUUUUUUCUAGGUCACACCCAUCACUUUUUCCUGGGCCAUUAGCUCAGGUGGUUAGAGCGCACCCCUGAUAAGGGUGAGGUCCCUGGUUCAAGUCCAGGAUGGCCCAUAUCUCUAUGUUGGGGGUAUAGCUCAGUUGGUAGAGCGCCUGCUUUGCAAGCAGGAUGUCAGCGGUUCGAGUCCGCUUACCUCCACUGAAUACCACCUCUUACAUAUAGUUGAAGUGGGAAAUUGUUUUGAGUCGUGUCCUAAUUUGCUCUGAGCGAAUCUAGCUUCCUAUUUUAUCCAAGAAAUAAGAUGCUGGACUCAUUGAAUUUUUUUUUCAUUGUUUUCAGAGAACCUUGACAACUGCAUAGAUUAUUUUUAAAGACAAUAAGCAUCUUUAAUGAUGCAGAUUUAUUAUUUGUGCGAAUGCAUUAAAUAACAAUUCUAUUAAGCUGAUGCUUCAAUUAUUGAAGUUAUUGGUCAAGCUACAAAGGGCUCACGGAGGAUACCUAGGCACACAGAGGCGAUGAA